rnacentral:rRNA from 1 species
ACCGGGGCUAAUACCGAAUGAUAGAAUGUGGCGCAUGCCACGCUUUUGAAAGAUGGUUUCGGCUAUCGCUUACAGAUGGGCCCGCGGUGCAUUAGCUAGUUGGUAGGGUAAUGGCCUACCAAGGCAACGAUGCAUAGCCGACCUGAGAGGGUGAUCGGCCACACUGGGACUGAGACACGGCCCAGACUCCUACGGGAGGCAGCAGUAGGGAAUCUUCCGCAAUGGACGAAAGUCUGACGGAGCAACGCCGCGUGUAUGAAGAAGGUUUUCGGAUCGUAAAGUACUGUUGUUAGAGAAGAACAAGGAUAAGAGUAACUGCUUGUCCCUUGACGGUAUCUAACCAGAAAGCCACGGCUAACUACGUGCCAGCAGCCGCGGUAAUACGUAGGUGGCAAGCGUUGUCCGGAUUUAUUGGGCGUAAAGCGCGCGCAGGCGGUCUUUUAAGUCUGAUGUGAAAGCCCCCGGCUUAACCGGGGAGGGUCAUUGGAAACUGGAAGACUGGAGUGCAGAAGAGGAGAGUGGAAUUCCACGUGUAGCGGUGAAAUGCGUAGAUAUGUGGAGGAACACCAGUGGCGAAGGCGACUCUCUGGUCUGUAACUGACGCUGAGGCGCGAAAGCGUGGGGAGCAAACAGGAUU